rnacentral:rRNA from 1 species
CCUACGGGAGGCAGCAGUGGGGCAUAUUGCACAAUGGGGGAAACCCUGAUGCAGCGACGCCGCGUGAGUGAAGAAGUAUUUCGGUAUGUAAAGCUCUAUCAGCAGGGAAGAAAAUGACGGUACCUGAUUAAGAAGCCCCGGCUAACUACGUGCCAGCAGCCGCGGUAAUACGUAGGGGGCAAGCGUUCUCCGGAUUUACUGGUUGUAAAGGGAGCGUAGACGGCAGCACAAGUCUGGAGUGAAAUGCCGGGGCUUAACCCCGGAACUGCUUUGGAAGCUGUGCGGCUAGAGUGCAGGAGAGGUGAGUGGAAGUCCAGGUGUAGCGGUGAAAUGCGUAGAGAUUAGGAGGAACACCAGUGGCGAAGGCGGCUUACUGGACUGAAACUGACGUUGAGGCGCGAAAGCGUGGGGAGCAAACAGGAUUAGAUACCCGGGUAGUC